GUCUGGGCUCGCAGUGCGAUUGUGAGUUCUGUGGAGCACGUUCUGCUGGGAGGGUAAGCUCUUCUCUCCUCUUCCACCAUGCCUGCUUCGUUACCGGGAGCAGCCCUGUGUGACAUGGUGAUAGGCGAGGAUCCAAGGUGCCUUUGCUGGGCUCUGUGAGCAGAGAGAGCCUCACCUUCCCCUUGCCACAUCUGGAGUCUUCAAGGAAGUGAGAAGUGUUCACGUUGCAGCUGCAGCCCCUUUCAUGACAUGUUCGGCACUACAAAUACCAGCUGCCAUUAAGAGGAACAAUCCGAUCUUCAUCAUCAUCAUCACCACCAUCACCAUCAUCACCAACGUCCUCCUCAUCCUGUGUCUGAGAGAUAAAUAUCCUUUUGUCAUGUUUCAUCUGAACUGUGUCAGAUGACAAGAGAGAUUUCCAUUGUGUGUGCCGCAGAGCAGCUCGGAGCUUCGCUGGGACUGAAGACUCCAACAACAACUUUAAGAUCAACCAAAAAUUCCCACCAUUAUGGCUACCAAUUCUAACCCUUGGACCUUAACACACAAUCUUGCUUCCUGGUCUGGUUCAUUAUUUCCUAUCUUCUUUUCCUCCCUCAGAAAAACAAGUCCAUUCAUAGUUACAGUUGUGGGAUGUGGGGAGGAGCCCUCGCCUGUGCCCUAGAAAGGAGAACACUGCAGGAAGGGGGCCACUAAUUAGCUGGUCCCAGAGCUUCAUGAAGCUGGCAUGGUUUCUUUAUUUUUAAGGCUUCAAGGCAGGGGCCAGACUGGGCAAAGAACAAUGAGAGCAUCGCAGAGGUGAUGCUUUUAAUGAUACAGUCGCUAAUGAAAUGGCACUCCACGGGUUCACUUAUUAGUAACUUAGCUCAAACAGCCAUGUCCCACUGUCAGCUUGCCACUGAAGACCCAGUGUGACCUCAGAAUUGUCAGCUCCACCUGAAAAAGAGCAAAUGUAGCAGGAAAUCCAGAGGCAGCAAGCAUAAUUUGGAGCGGGAAGAUUAACAACAACAGAGAGGGCCGUGGGAAUCUCUGCAUCUCCAGUUUGCUGGGACGUUAAGCCCGAAGCAGAGCUUCUAUGAAGAACAGGCUAACCUUGCACUACUUGGGUUGCAUCUGAUUUGUAAACAAUGGAACGACUUGAUUGAAUGUUUUUGGAGGCUUGGAUGACAGUGUUGGUAUUAGAGGAGUGACAAGCACAACUCCAUUCUCUGCUAAUUAUAUACUGUAGCUCUUCCUGAUGUUUUUCAGGGCACAGAGAUUUCUAACUUUAUGUUUGGAAAAUGAUUUAUGGGGAAAACACUUCCGUACAAAUCUUGCUUGACAACUGGGGCAUCGUGAAGGAUAUAUAGAUGUAAAAUUUUAUGACACUUUCCAUUUCUGUAACUUUAUUUGUUUGAAUAACUUAGUAUCCUUUACAUAAAUUAUUGAAUUUCACGUGCUAAUAUGCCUCUGCCACAUGGGAAUUGUAUUUACCUUUGAAUUCAGAAUUGGACAGGAAGGGCCGUCAUGUUGGGAACUGUCUUUUUGAGGGUCAAACCAUAUUUUACACCUCUGGUUGGCUUGCAUCUAUGUUUAAAAACUACUCCCUAGAACAUACACUCAUAAGUGGAAUUUUCUCCUUUAAAUGCCCAUGUAUGUCCUUAUUAACAAUUCAUGGUGUCUGUGGUUUGCUUCUUUCUUUCUUUCUUUCUUUCUUUCUUUCUUUCUUUCUUUCUUUCUUUCUUUCUUUCUUUCUUUCUUUUUUUGCAAAGCUAAACAACCACAUAACUUCCUUGAGUCUAAACUCUAGUUAUAAACAAGAGUUUGUCCAAGGUGACACGAAAUCCCGGAAUCACAGUGUGAAAUCCGACUGUUUUCAUCU
rnacentral:lncRNA from 1 species